rnacentral:rRNA from 1 species
AACGAACGCUGGCGGCAGGCCUAACACAUGCAAGUCGAGCGCAGUCCUUCGGGACCGAGCGGCGGACGGGUUAGUAACGCGUGGGAACAUACCCUUUUCUACGGAAUAGCCUCGGGAAACUGAGAGUAAUACCGUAUACGCCCUUUCGAGGGGAAAGAUUUAUCGGUUAAGGAUUGGCCCGCGUUAGAUUAGAUAGUUGGUGGGGUAAUGGCCUACCAAGUCUACGAUCUAUAGCUGGUUUUAGAGGAUGAUCAGCAACACUGGGACUGAGACACGGCCCAGACUCCUACGGGAGGCAGCAGUGGGGAAUCUUAGACAAUGGGCGCAAGCCUGAUCUAGCCAUGCCGCGUGUGUGAUGAAGGCCUUAGGGUCGUAAAGCACUUUCGCCAGAGAUGAUAAUGACAGUAUCUGGUAAAGAAACCCCGGCUAACUCCGUG